UAGGGAAUCUUCGGCAAUGGACGAAAGUCUGACCGAGCAACGCCGCGUGAGUGAAGAAGGUUUUCGGAUCGUAAAACUCUGUCGUUAGAGAAGAACAAGGACGUUAGUAACUGAACGUCCCCUGACGGUAUCUAACCAGAAAGCCACGGCUAACUACGUGCCAGCAGCCGCGGUAAUACGUAGGUGGCAAGCGUUGUCCGGAUUUAUUGGGCGUAAAGCGAGCGCAGGCGGUUUGUUAAGUCUGAUGUAAAAGCCCCCGGCUCAACCGGGGAGGGUCAUUGUAAACUGGGAGACUUAAGUGCAGAGGAGGGGAGUGGAAUUCCAUGGGUGGCGGUGAAAUGCGUAGAUAUAUGGAGGAACACCAGUGGCGAAGGCGGCUCUCUGGUCUGUAACGGACGCUGAGGCUGGAAGGCGUGGGGAGCAAACAGG
rnacentral:rRNA from 1 species